GACUUCAUCCCAAGCUAUCCUUCUCUUCAUGCAGCUGUACACCAGGAUAGAACCUUUCACAGGAGAGAACAGCUUUUCAAAUGCAAUCAGGGACUACCAGGACACACCACAACAAGCACCCAAAACACAGGAAGGAGCCCGCCAGCUGCAGAAAGCCAGCCUGAGGAUCAAAAGCACAACGUCCCAGAUAACUGUUAAGCUAAUGGGGAGCAUAGGGAACUCCUGAUGUCCUGCAAAUCUUCAGCAAGGAGCAUGGAAGAAGAGGGCAGAAAAAGACAGUGAGAGGAUGUUAUUUCCUAUGCACAUGAGAUAAGCUCUCAGCAUGAGUACAACCCAGAUUCCCACUUAGCUUCUCUUCACGUAUUUACUUGGCAGAGAUGAGGCCACUUGCACCAGUGGAGCAGGCGGGGAAGAAGAUGCAUCUAUUGGUGAAGCUCAGCCCAGCUCUGUUGGCAUCAGGCACCCAUGUUUAUUACAGCUGGCAAAGAGGUCCCAGCUUCAGACAGCUGUCUGCCAUCCGCUUUGGCCAGACACCGAGACGCUAGCAAUUGUCUGCUGGUA